rnacentral:lncRNA from 1 species
GCCCUAAUCCUCUGCCGUAAUUCGCGUCUUCCAGACCUUCCUAUCUAGGGUCAUGUCCUCGGUAAGCUGUAACUGUUCCAUGUCCCGCCUAAUCACCUCACCCCAGUACUUCUUCGGUCUACCCCUACCCCGUCUAAAACCAUCCAACGCUAGCCUCUCACCCCUACGGACCGGGGCAUCCAUGCCCCUCCUCUUCACGUGUCCGAACCAUCUCAAUCGUGCUUCCCGCAUCUUACACUCCACUGAAGUCACCCCAACCUUCUCCCGGAUAGUCUCAUUCCGAGCUCUAUCCCUUCGGGUCAGUCCACACAUCCAGCGCAACAUCCGCAUUUCUGCCACCUUCAUUCUUUGGGUGUGGGAGUUCUUAACUGGCCAACACUCCGCUCCAUACAGC